rnacentral:ncRNA from 12 species
GGGCGAUAAUUGCGCCCGGUGCGGAGCGGGCGCAUCCCGCCCCGAAAGUAUGAGGCCGCCGGACGGCGGUCCGGAGGCGAGUAGGGGCGGUUCGCCC